GGCCACUCUACAAUGGCUCUAACCUUUUCAGGAUCAACAGACACUCCUGCUUUUGAAACAACAAAUCCUAGGAAUAUGACCUGAUCACUCAUGAAGGUACACUUCUUUAAGUUAGCAUAAAGCUUUUCUUGUUGAAGUGUUUGAAAUACUUGA